rnacentral:misc_RNA from 1 species
AGAAAAGUGAUGUUUAUAGUUUUGAAGUAGUUCUUUUUGAGCUUUUAACAGGACAAAAACCAAUUACUUCAACAAGAUCUGUUGAAGCGAGAAGUUUAGCUGCAUACUUUCUGGAUUCAAUGGAAGCAAAUCAUUUGUUUGAAAUUGUUGAUGCUCGAGUUCUCAAGGACGGUGGGAAAGAAGAAAUCAUUGCAGUUGCUAAGCUCGCUAAAAGAUGUUUGGACUUGAGUGGUAAGAAGAGACCUACCAUGAAGACA